CCUACGGGAGGCAGCAGUGAGGAAUCUUCCACAAUGGGCGAAAGCCUGAUGGAGCAACGCCGCGUGCAGGAUGAAGGCCUUCGGGUUGUAAACUGCUUUUCUGAUUGACGAAUAUGACGGUAGAUCAGGAAUAAGGAUCGGCUAACUACGUGCCAGCAGCCGCGGUCAUACGUAGGAUCCGAGCGUUAUCCGGAGUGACUGGGCGUAAAGAGUUGCGUAGGUGGUUUGUUAAGCGAAUAGUGAAACCUGGUGGCUCAACCAUUCAGACUAUUAUUCGAACUGGCAGACUCGAGAACAGUAGAGGUACCUAGAAUUCCCAGUGUAGGGGUGAAAUCCGUAGAUAUUGGGAGGAAUACCGAUGGCGUAGGCAGGGUACUGGACUGUUUCUGACACUGAGGCACGAAAGCGUGGGGAGCGAACCGGAUUAGAUACCCUGGUAG
rnacentral:rRNA from 1 species